UACGGGGGGGGGCAAGCGUUGUUCGGAAUUACUGGGCGUAAAGGGCGCGUAGGCGGCGCCGCAAGUCGACUGUGAAAUCUCCGGGCUUAACCCGGAAAGGUCAGCCGAUACUGCGGGGCUAGAGUGCAGAAGGGGCAACUGGAAUUCUCGGUGUAGCGGUGAAAUGCGCAGAUAUCGAGAGGAACACCUGCGGCGAAGGCGGGUUGCUGGG
rnacentral:rRNA from 1 species